ensembl:lncRNA novel transcript
GGGCCCUAGACGUGAACUGUGGAAGACGCUGAAUAAGGACCAACAUGUCUACAGUCCAGCCUAGAAAACAGGAUGCCUGUAAUCAUUAUUCAGUGAGCAGCAACCUGCAGCAGCUCCUCCUGACUGGCAGAUGGGCCUGGCGGCCACCCAGAGGCUGGGGACACAGCAAGAAUCCAGCACAGCACCGAUCCCGAUUCCCUCCUCCCCAAACUACCUGAGCCAUGGACCUCAUUUUGUGGACAAAAUUAAACUUGCCACUUUCACAA